UCUUCAUUUGAUGGUGUUGUGUAAUUGUU
rnacentral:piRNA from 1 species